UAAUAAUUAUUAUAAAUAUUGUUAAUAAUUAAUGAUAACAGAAAAGAUUAGCUGGCCCCUGCAUAAGAAUGACACACAAAUUUGUGAAGUAGUCUAUAUUUUU
rfam:Tupaia chinensis contig20401, whole genome shotgun sequence.